AGAUUGCAGGCUGAAACUCGCCUGCAUGAAGUCGGAAUUGCUAGUAAUCGCAGAUCAGCAUGCUGCGGUGAAUACGUUCCCGGGUCUUGUACACACCGCCCGUCACACCAUGGGAGUCGGAAAUGCCCGAAGUCAGUGACCCAACCGUAAGGAGGGAGCUGCCGAAGGUGGAGCCGGUAACUGGGGUGAAGUCGUAACAAGGUACC
rnacentral:rRNA from 1 species